rnacentral:rRNA from 1 species
GAUCCUGGCUCAGGACGAACGCUGGCGGCGUGCCUAACACACGCAAGUCGAACGGAGAAGUUUUAUUUCGGUAGAAUUCUUAGUGGCGAACGGGUGAGUAACGCGUAGGCAACCUACCCUUUAGACGGGGACAACAUUCCGAAAGGAGUGCUAAUACCGGAUGUGAUCAUCGUGCCGCAUGGCAGGAUGAAGAAAGAUGGCCUCUACAAGUAAGCUAUCGCUAAAGGAUGGGCCUGCGUCUGAUUAG